GGGGUGCAACACGAGGACUUCCCAGGAGGUCACCCAUCCUAGUACUACUCUCGCCCAAGCACGCUUAGCUGCGGAGUUCCGAUGGGAUCCGGUGCAUUAGUGCUGGUAUGAUCUCACCC
rnacentral:rRNA from 1 species